UCACUUUGAAGCGUUUCGCAAGGCUUGAAAGCUCGACUCUACUUCAGUACAUCUCAUUGCACCUGUAAUGUUUCGUCACCCAGAUGCCCAGCCAAUGAACCCCAAGGAGGAGCGAACCUGCACGAGCGGUUUCUGCGGUCGGUAGCCCGCUCUGAGAGCCUUCAAUGGCUGCAGGGGACCUACGGGGACGCCGUGACCACAGCCAUUGUGUGGUUGCACGAGGCCUACUCGUCGGGGGUCGCGAUCCUGAUUCUGCCUGUUUUGAUCAGCUGGCUACUUUCAAGCGACAGCGUAAGGAAGUUGCUUCAUCAUGGGGAAGUCUGGCUUGAAUGGAGCUUUGCCACUGGCAGUAACUGGCUGCAGUUCAAUCCCGGGCCUGCGACUGUUGUCUCAGAAUCUUCUCCUAGCAAAGCGUCGCCUACCAGGAAGAAAGUGCCAGACGACGAUCCUCGGUACGACGUCAUAACGCUGCCCUUCGACAAGCCAGUGAAGGAAUUCGUGACCACCACCAGCGCCGUAGUGACCUCGCUGUUCGAAUCCACUCCCCGGGAAUCUGAAUCUCCGGGACGAGACGUCCCAGACAACAUGGCGCCCACAUGUCCCAAAUAAAGGGCGCCGUGCCUGCUGACAGGGAUGAAUAAGCGCGAUUUCAUUUCGCAAGUCAUCAUCGCUUUCCGUCAUCGCAUUUUCCUCUCGCCACCUGCUCACCGCAGAUCUUAGCAUCUCCUUCGAAAUGACGUGUUAAGCAAGGCGCAUUUUUUUCUUUCGCCUGGUGGCAAGCGCCUCUUUCAAAUGA